GAUCCUGGCUCAGGAUGAACGCUAGCUACAGGCUUAACACAUGCAAGUCGAGGGGCAGCAUUUUAGUUUUGCUUGCAAACUGAAGAUGGCGACCGGCGCACGGGUGAGUAACACGUAUCCAACCUGCCGAUAACUCCGGAAUAGCCUUUCGAAAGAAAGAUUAAUACCGGAUAGCAUACGAAUAUCGCAUGAUAUUUUUAUUAAAGAAUUUCGGUUAUCGAUGGGGAUGCGUUCCAUUAGUUUGUUGGG
rnacentral:rRNA from 1 species